UACGUAGGGUGCGAGCGUUAAUCGGAAUUACUGGGCGUAAAGCGUGCGCAGGCGGCGCGUUAAGACAGGUGUGAAAGCCCCGGGCUUAACCUGGGAAUGGCAUUCAGGACUGCGAGGCUUUGAGUGCGGCAGAGGGAGGUGGAAUUCCACGUGUAGCAGUGAAAUGCGUAGAGAUGUGGAGGAACACCGAUGGCGAAGGCAGCCUCCUGGGCCAGCACUGACGCUCAUGCACGAAAGCGUGGGGAGCAAACAGG
rnacentral:rRNA from 1 species